CCUACGGGAGGCAGCAGUAAGGAAUAUUGGACAAUGGACGCAAGUCUGAUCCAGCCAUGCCGCGUGAAGGAUUAAGGUCCUCUGGAUUGUAAACUUCUUUUAUAAGGGACGAAAAAAGGCUUUUCUAAGUCGUCUGACGGUACCUUAUGAAUAAGCACCGGCUAACUCCGUGCCAGC
rnacentral:rRNA from 1 species